UACGUAGGGUGCAAGCGUUGUCCGGAAUUAUUGGGCGUAAAGAGCUCGUAGGCGGUCUGUCGCGUCUGCUGUGAAAACUCAGGGCUUAACCCUGAGCUUGCAGUGGGUACGGGCAGACUAGAGUGCGGUAGGGGAGACUGGAAUUCCUGGUGUAGCGGUGAAAUGCGCAGAUAUCGGGAAGAACACCUAUGGCGAAGGCAGCUCUCUGGGACGGUACUGACGCUGAGACGCGAAAGCGUGGGGAGCGAACAGG
rnacentral:rRNA from 1 species